rnacentral:rRNA from 1 species
CCUACGGGAGGCAGCAGUGGGGAAUAUUGCACAAUGGGGGAAACCCUGAUGCAGCGACGCCGCGUGAGUGAAGAAGUAUUUCGGUAUGUAAAGCUCUAUCAGCAGGGAAGAAAAUGACGGUACCUGACUAAGAAGCCCCGGCUAACUACGUGCCAGCAGCCGCGGUAAUACGUAGGGGGCAAGCGUUAUCCGGAUUUACUGGGUGUAAAGGGGGCGUAGACGGCAGGGCAAGCCAGAAGUGAAAUGCCGGGGCUCAACCGCGGAACUGCUUUUGAAACUGUGUAGCUGGAGUGCAGGAGAGGUAAGUGGAAUUCCUAGUGUAGCGGUGAAAUGCGUAGAUAUUAGGAGGAACACCAGUGGCGAAGGCGGCUUACUGGACUGUAAAUGACGGUGAGGCUCGAAAGCGUGGGGAGCAAACAGGAUUAGAUACCCGGGUAGUC